UACGUAGGGUGCAAGCGUUAAUCGGAAUUACUGGGCGUAAAGCGUGCGCAGGCGGUCCGCAAAGUCUGAUGUGAAAGCCCCGGGCUCAACCUGGGAACUGCAUUGGAAACUAACGGGCUCGAGUGUGGCAGAGGGGGGUGGAAUUCCACGUGUAGCAGUGAAAUGCGUAGAGAUGUGGAGGAACACCGAUGGCGAAGGCAGCCCCCUGGGCUAACACUGACGCUCAGGCACGAAAGCGUGGGGAGCAAACAGG
rnacentral:rRNA from 1 species